rnacentral:rRNA from 1 species
UCUACGGGAGGCAGCAGUGGGGAAUAUUGCACAAUGGAGGGAACUCUGAUGCAGCAACGCCGCGUGAGCGAAGAAGGUUUUAGGAUCGUAAAGCUCUGUCCUAGGGGAAGAUAAUGACGGUACCCGAGGAGGAAGCCCCGGCUAACUACGUGCCAGCAGCCGCGGUAAUA